GUAAAGCGCGCGUAGGUGGUUUGUUAAGUUGGAUGUGAAAUCCCCGGGCUCAACCUGGGAACUGCAUCCAAAACUGGCAAGCUAGAGUAUGGUAGAGGGUGGUGGAAUUUCCUGUGUAGCGGUGAAAUGCGUAGAUAUAGGAAGGAACACCAGUGGCGAAGGCGACCACCUGGACUGAUACUGACACUGAGGUGCGAAAGCGUGGGGAGCAAACAGGAUUAGAUACCCGU
rnacentral:rRNA from 1 species